GAUAGGGUUUGAGCGCGCGAUUGUGUCACUUUCCUCAAAAUAAGUUUUGGUGCCAAAACUCUCCGCACACUAAAAAUCUAUUUUAGUUUUUUCCCUCUCAUUUCAAACCCUUUCUCUCUCUCUUUAAACGCUUUUCACCUUCCCUCUUCUUCUUCCUUCUUUCAAAACCCUAACUCCCACACCAAUUUCUUUUCCCUAAUUUAAAACCCCAACGCUUUCUCAUUCUCCCAAUUCAACGCGCUUUCCUCACCAAAAUCGUGCCUAAUUUUUCAACCUCGUCGCUGAAUUCAAUGUGUCUCUCACUGCCUUCGCCCGCUGACACCGCAGGGGAGCCGGUGGAUGCUCCUCCCGCACCGAAUCUCUUUCUCCAAACCCUAGAAAACGCCGAAUCGACCGUUCACACUGCUCUACACGCACGUGAUCGCGUUCACGCUGUACGAGUUGGAGACCAUAACGAAGAGCUUCCGCGGCGACUACAUCCUCGGCGAGGGAGGGUUCGAACCGUUUACAAAGGCUACAUUGAUGAGAACGUGAGAGUGGGACUCAAAUGGCUACCUGUAGCGGUCAAAGUGUUGAACAAGGAGGGACUGCAGGGACAUUGCGAGUGGCUCGUGCAUUUUGCGUCUUGCAUUUUGCGUUUUGCGUUUUGCAUCUUUUUUUAUUUUAGUUUGUCUGGUUAAUUUUUUUGUGUGUGUGUUUUUGUGGUGCAGACGGAGGUGAAUUUUCUAGGGCAGCUUAGGCAUCCUAAUCUGGUGAAGUUGAUUGGGUACUCCUGGCACUCUUCUUCAGAUCUUUCAGGUCAUCGGAAGUGAGGGUUGGGGUGGACUCUAUAGUGGGCUCAAGCCUUCUCUUCUUGGAACUGUUGCUUCUCAGGGCAUUUACUAUUAUUUCUAUCAAGUUUUCAAGAACAAGGCUGUGGCCAUUGCAGCUGCGCGGAAAGUGAAAGGGCAUGGAAAUGGUAUUGUUGGGAUGUUUGGUUGGCUUCUUGUGGCUGCAAUUGAUGGCAUGUUUAUCUAAAACAUGUUUAUACUGAUCUUGGUGCCAGUCGUGCUUGGGACAUGAGAACAAUGGAAUCUCUUUGCCGAGCAUGUAAAUAUGCAGGGCUCACAAAAGGCUCAUUACUUCUCCUCCAGUUGCCGUAUUUCCUCCUCCCCUUGCCGUAUUUCCUCACCCCCUUUGUGUUCAUGUUGGUCUUGUUCCCUCAAACAAAAUUUACCAGCGUAACUACCGGUUCUUCUUCAUGUUUGUCUUCUUAACUACACUACUUUGUAUAUAUGUUUUUGCGUUUUGCUGGGUCUAUAUUAGAAGAAUUAUGGCAUUAGAGGAGCAACAAUUUGAGCUGCUGGGUUGUGUUGGUCUACUUUGUAACUUGACAAACCAAGACUUAUCAAUAUUGUUUUUGAUGUAGUAAAGCACCAUCUUUUUAUAUGUUAAAAUAUUGUGGUUUGUAUACUUGUCCUUUUUAUUUUUCUUUUAAAUUCAAGAGUGCAUCUUGCAUACUAGAGGAUUAUUUCUUUUAA